rnacentral:rRNA from 1 species
AGUGAACGCUGGCGGUAGGCCUAACACAUGCAAGUCGAACGGCAGCACAGUAAGAGCUUGCUCUUACGGGUGGCGAGUGGCGGACGGGUGAGGAAUACAUCGGAAUCUACUUUUUCGUGGGGGAUAACGUAGGGAAACUUACGCUAAUACCGCAUACGACCUACUGGUGAAAGCAGGGGAUCUUCGGACCUUGCGCGAUUGAAUGAGCCGAUGUCGGAUUAGCUAGUUGGCGGGGUAAAGGCCCACCAAGGCGACGAUCCGUAGCUGGUCUGAGAGGAUGAUCAGCCACACUGGAACUGAGACACGGUCCAGACUCCUACGGGAGGCAGCAGUGGGGAAUAUUGGACAAUGGGCGCAAGCCUGAUCCAGCCAUACCGCGUGGGUGAAGAAGGCCUUCGGGUUGUAAAGCCCUUUUGUUGGGAAAGAAAAGCAGCAGGUUAAUACCCCGCUGUUCUGACGGUACCCAAAGAAUAAACACCGGCUAACUUCGU